ACAGCGAACGUUCGAAUAUCUAUAGUACAGAUAUCCGUUUCUAUGCGUCGAAAACUACCUAUAGAGGUUUGUCAUCGACGCUGUAAUAACCCGAGUGAGCAAAAGCCGAACGAUGAGAUUCUGUAUUUCUGCUGCGUUUUCUGUUUGCCUGCCUUUAUGUACGUGUGAAAACUGAUCAUUUGGAAAGUCCCUUUACUACGAAACCUCGAGCUGUGUCCUAUAUAUAUAUUCCUUGCGUGCCUUUUACCGAAAGGCGACUAGGGACUCCUAUACAUCGCCUAUGAUCCUCUAAAGUACGUUUCUAGUUCCUUGCCGCAGCCUUCGAGGGAUCUCCUAGCGACCAAGAGCCCCGGAUAGCCAAUGCAACGAGUUGCUGCUUAUAUGACGAUCUGUUCUAAACGAAUGGCACUUGA